rnacentral:rRNA from 1 species
GACGAACGCUGGCGGCGUGCUUAACACAUGCAAGUCGAACGGAAAGGCCCUGCUUUUGUGGGGUGCUCGAGUGGCGAACGGGUGAGUAACACGUGAGUAACCUGCCCUUGACUUUGGUAUAACUUCAGGAAACUGGGGCUAAUACCGGAUAGGAGCUCCUGCUGCAUGGUGGGGGUUGGAAAUUUUCGGCGGUUGGGGUUGGACUCGCGGCUUAUCAGCUUGUUGGUGGGGUAGUGGCUUACCAAGGCUUUGACGGGUAGCCGGCAUGAGAGGGUGACCGGGCACAUUGGGACUGAGAUACGGCCCAGACUCCAACGGGAGGCAGCAGGGGGGAAUAUUGCCCAAUGGUCGGAAGCCUGAUGCAGCAACGCCGCGUGCGGGAUGACGGCCUUCGGGUUGUAAACCGCUUUCGCCUGUGACGACGCGUGAGUGACGGUAAUGGGUAAAGAAGCACCGGCUAACUACGUG